CCUGGAAUCCUUGGGAUGUUUUAUCCUAAACCAUAACCUUACCUAACCAUUUCAAAAAUGUCAAUUUGGGACGUCGCAAGGAUUCCAUGUAGCAAGGACAUUGCAUUGAGGUAUGAUUAUUGAACGAAUUUAAAGACAAUCAUAGCUUGCAGACCAGAUAAUUUAGUGACGUUGUCGCUAUAUGUAUCGACUUUUUAUUGGUAAAUGAUUCUAGCGACAAAAUCAUCUACUUUUCAGACUGUCUUUGGCGUUUAUAUGAUUUUGAUAUCAUUUAGCGACUUUUUCCACUCUAUUCUGCCGCAAACAGAAGUUACAGCAACAGCCCACACACAGGCACAAAAGGGGAGGAAUGUACGGCGGGAGAGGGGGCAAAACGCUAGGAAAGGGGACUGCAUGUGUGCCGCAACAAGGCAAAAUGAUGCUGUGACGUCGUCGCGGCAACGGCAAAAGCGUAAUAUACCGACAAAUCAAGGAGCCAAUAGCGGAACUCUGGAAUAUAGUUGACAACAUUGGAGCAGUCAUUAGAGGAGAACAUGUUCAGGAGCCUGACAUUUUACGAACUUUACUCGCUAACACGGCGUAGAAACGGUGUUUUAGAUAUCAGGUCAAGAUGAUGUGUCCUACAAUAUCCAUGAUAGGUGGGUGUUUGCCCCCCUUUGGCCAUGCACCGUGGGCAUCGAUGACAACUGCCAAUACACAACAACCCAGAGUCCAGAACCAGGGAACCUGCAGUACAACCAUGACUUCCUCCGUCAGCUGCAUUUCUGUAAGGCUGCCUGUAUCGGGCCACACGACCUGGAGCUCAUCCCAAGGGUCACUGACAACACACAUGGUCCUUUCUCAUGUUCAGACAGACGAAAUCCCACUACCUAAACCUGCGGUCAGCCUACGGCUAAUUCAUCCCUGCAACAGACUGAGCUGACCACCAUGCACUCUGAGGAUGGAUCUACGGUCGACGACAUCUUCUACUCCAAGGCUUGGCAAUUCUGGUGCUGAUCAGAAAGGUGGAGGUCAACGGAAGAGCGGAGGUUUGAAGCUGCUUGGUCGUCUCUCCCCCCAAUUAGAGGAGGAUCUCUGGUCAAUGAAAGGUUUACCCAAUUAAUUGUUCCCUUCGGACCAUCUCAGUUUCCUGGUUAGGUUCCAGCUGGACUGAAACCCUAUGUAAUUUGGGCUGUUUGUGAUCAAUUAAUAAAUCAGGAGGACCGAGGUCAAGCAUUUAAAAAUAUUUGUUCAAACUGUACAUGAUUUUCCCAUGGUGUGAUUCCAUGUUUUAUAAGUUAAUAAUUGUACUUAAUUGGUUCUUUGGGCUCACAUGGUUGUUUCCUACCUGAAGAGAAACUACUCAUCCCAAGGUCCAGAGGGGAUGGGAUGUCCUCUGAAGAAUCGUUUUUGUUUACAUGAAGAGAGAGCAAAACAAACCAAAAAGGUUGAAUUUAGUUCAAAGUUGGAAUUUAUUUGACAAAUUCUCUUACUGUUGAGAUUUGAAUGCAUGAAGCUUUUAGAUUUUAAAAGUUAAU